CUGCAGGAGCCGCCACGACGCGGGCACGCAGACGCCGCACCUGGCGCGCCACAAGGAGAGCGCCGUCUAGCCGAGCGUCCACACCUCUCUCGCCCGAGCUGUCUGCAGCCGCGUUUCUGCGGUUUUACGCAGGAACCAAAAUAAAUGCAGAUGACUCCACUAUCGUCGCAGAAAGUGGGGCAAGUGUGCUUAGCAGUAUAUUCUCGACUGCCCAGUCAAAACAACCAAGAUGGCGAAAACAACAGCGAUUGCUGAUAGAAGAGGAAAGACAGUGGCAAAAGGCGGAUAUAGCGGGACUCCUUCGACACACGCGCCCCAAUAGAAUUCCUGAAUCAUCACAUAAUACGAGUGGAUCACAUUGUUUCUACAGAAUAAAUUUAACUACGAUUUUUCCCUACGGAUAUUUUAAUGGUCGCAAAAUUACAAGCUGCAUUAACAAGUGUCAGGAUAUCAAAUUUGGUAAGGUAAUCCAUCGCAGUAACUAUUUGGAAUGCAUUUAGACUUGAACAAUGAUGACUGGAACACUCUAUUCGUAAAAUGUGAAUUAAUUUGUUAUAAAUGUGAUUAUAAAUCAUAAUCAAUUUCAACUAUGUGAACUGAAGAAAUCGGCUGUGAUACCUAUUUUUCUACUGUGUCGUGAGGUAACAAAUCUUUACUGUGUGUUGAAGAAAUACCUUUUAAAAAUGUUAAAAUUUAAUGACGAAUAUCAUGUAGACUCAAAUAUGUGUCAAUAUAUACUUUCGUGUCGUGCUGAAGA